rnacentral:rRNA from 1 species
AGUUAUGCCAGACUGAAUCCACAUGUUCUGAUCUGAUCUUUGAAGAUAAGCAGUCCUAUACCUAUCUAGUACUUGGAUGGGAAACCACUCUAAAACCUUUGAUGCCAUAGAUA